AUUGAACGCUGGCGGCAUGCUUUACACAUGCAAGUCGAACGGCAGCGCGGGCUUCGGCCUGGCGGCGAGUGGCGAACGGGUGAGUAAUACAUCGGAACGUGCCCAGUAGUGGGGGAUAGCUCGGCGAAAGCCGGAUUAAUACCGCAUACGACCUGAGGGUGAAAGCGGGGGAUCUUCGGACCUCGCGCUAUUGGAGCGGCCGAUGGCAGAUUAGCUAGUUGGUGGGGUAAAGGCCUACCAAGGCGACGAUCUGUAGCUGGUGUGAGAGGACGACCAGCCACACUGGGACUGAGACACGGCCCAGACUCCUACGGGAGGCAGCAGUGGGGAAUUUUGGACAAUGGGCGAAAGCCUGAUCCAGCAAUGCCGCGUGUGUGAUGAAGGCCUUCGGGUUGUAAAGCACUUUUGGCGGGAACGAAAAGGACUGUGCCAAUACCACGGUUCGAUGACGGUACCCGCAGAAUAAGCACCGGCUAACUACGUG
rnacentral:rRNA from 1 species